UACGUAGGGGGCAAGCGUUGUCCGGAAUUAUUGGGCGUAAAGAGCUCGUAGGCGGUUUGUCGCGUCUGCUGUGAAAACCUGAGGCUCAACCUCGGGCUUGCAGUGGGUACGGGCAGACUAGAGUGCGGUAGGGGUGACUGGAAUUCCUGGUGUAGCGGUGGAAUGCGCAGAUAUCAGGAGGAACACCGAUGGCGAAGGCAGGUCACUGGGCCGCAACUGACGCUGAGGAGCGAAAGCAUGGGGAGCAAACAGG
rnacentral:rRNA from 1 species